rnacentral:rRNA from 1 species
GAUUAACGCUAGCGGCAGGCAUAAUACAUGCAAGUUGAACGAGAUAAGUUGUAGCAAUACGGCUUUGAAAGUGGCGCACGGGUGCGUAACACGUAUGCAACCUACCUUAUACAGGGGAAUAGCCUCUCGAAAGAGAGAUUAAUACCCCAUAACAUAUAGAUAAGGCAUCUUAUUUAUAUUAAAGUUCCGGCGGUAUAAGAUGGGCAUGCGGCUGAUUAGGUAGUUGGUGAGGUAAUGGCCUCACCAAGCCGACGAUCAGUAGGGGGUCUGAGAGGAUGUCCCCCACACUGGUACUGAGACACGGACCAGACUCCUACGGGAGGCAGCAGUAGGGAAUAUUGGACAAUGGGCGCAAGCCUGAUCCAGCCAUGCCGCGUGCGGGAUGAAGGCCCCUAUGGGUCGUAAACUGCUUUUGUACGGGAAGAAAACCUGCAUACGUGUAUGCAGUUGACGGUACCGUGAGAAUAAGGAUCGGCUAACUUCGUGCCAGCAGCCGCGGUAAUACGAAGGAUCCAAGCGUUGUCCGGAUUUACUGGGUUUAAAGGGUGCGUAGGCGGACUUUUAAGUUAGUGGUGAAAAGCUUGCAGCUUAACUGUAAAAUUGCCAUUGAAAACUGAAAGUCUCGAGUGUGGUUGAGGUAACUGGAAUGUAUCAUGUAGCGGUGAAAUGCUUAGAUAUGAUACAGAACACCGAUUGCG